rnacentral:rRNA from 1 species
UUAAGCGACUAAGCGUACACGGUGGAUGCCCUGGCAGUCAGAGGCGAUGAAGGACGUGCUAAUCUGCGAUAAGCGUCGGUGAGGUGAUAUGAACCGUUAUAACCGGCGAUUUCCGAAUGGGGAAACCCAGUGUGUUUCGACACACUAUCAUUAACUGAAUCCAUAGGUUAAUGAGGCGAACCGGGGGAACUGAAACAUCUAAGUACCCCGAGGAAAAGAAAUCAACCGAGAUUCCCCCAGUAGCGGCGAGCGAACGGGGAGGAGCCCAGAGCCUGAAUCAGUGUGUGUGUUAGUGGAAGCGUCUGGAAAGGCGUGCGAUACAGGGUGACAGCCCCGUACACAAAAAUGCACAUAUUGUGAGCUCGAUGAGUAGGGCGGGACACGUGGUAUCCUGUCUGAAUAUGGGGGGACCAUCCUCCAAGGCUAAAUACUCCUGACUGACCGAUAGUGAACCAGUACCGUGAGGGAAAGGCGAAAAGAACCCCGGCGAGGGGAGUGAAAAAGAACCUGAAACCGUGUACGUACAAGCAGUGGGAGCCUCUUAAUGGGGUGACUGCGUACCUUUUGUAUAAUGGGUCAGCGACUUAUAUUCUGUAGCAAGGUUAACCGAAUAGGGGAGCCGAAGGGAAACCGAGUCUUAACUGGGCGUUAAGUUGCAGGGUAUAGACCCGAAACCCGGUGAUCUAGCCAUGGGCAGGUUGAAGGUUGGGUAACACUAACUGGAGGACCGAACCGACUAAUGUUGAAAAAUUAGCGGAUGACUUGUGGCUGGGGGUGAAAGGCCAAUCAAACCGGGAGAUAGCUGGUUCUCCCCGAAAGCUAUUUAGGUAGCGCCUCGUGAAUUCAUCUCCGGGGGUAGAGCACUGUUUCGGCAAGGGGGUCAUCCCGACUUACCAACCCGAUGCAAACUGCGAAUACCGGAGAAUGUUAUCACGGGAGACACACGGCGGGUGCUAACGUCCGUCGUGAAGAGGGAAACAACCCAGACCGCCAGCUAAGGUCCCAAAGUCAUGGUUAAGUGGGAAACGAUGUGGGAAGGCCCAGACAGCCAGGAUGUUGGCUUAGAAGCAGCCAUCAUUUAAAGAAAGCGUAAUAGCUCACUGGUCGAGUCGGCCUGCGCGGAAGAUGUAACGGGGCUAAACCAUGCACCGAAGCUGCGGCAGCGACACUAUGUGUUGUUGGGUAGGGGAGCGUUCUGUAAGCCUGUGAAGGUGGCCUGUGAGGGUUGCUGGAGGUAUCAGAAGUGCGAAUGCUGACAUAAGUAACGAUAAAGCGGGUGAAAAGCCCGCUCGCCGGAAGACCAAGGGUUCCUGUCCAACGUUAAUCGGGGCAGGGUGAGUCGACCCCUAAGGCGAGGCCGAAAGGCGUAGUCGAUGGGAAACAGGUUAAUAUUCCUGUACUUGGUGUUACUGCGAAGGGGGGACGGAGAAGGCUAUGUUGGCCGGGCGACGGUUGUCCCGGUUUAAGCGUGUAGGCUGGUUUUCCAGGCAAAUCCGGAAAACCAAGGCUGAGGCGUGAUGACGAGGCACUACGGUGCUGAAGCGACAAAUGCCCUGCUUCCAGGAAAAGCCUCUAAGCAUCAGGUAACAUCAAAUCGUACCCCAAACCGACACAGGUGGUCAGGUAGAGAAUACCAAGGCGCUUGAGAGAACUCGGGUGAAGGAACUAGGCAAAAUGGUGCCGUAACUUCGGGAGAAGGCACGCUGAUAUGUAGGUGAAGCGACUUGCUCGUGGAGCUGAAAUCAGUCGAAGAUACCAGCUGGCUGCAACUGUUUAUUAAAAACACAGCACUGUGCAAACACGAAAGUGGACGUAUACGGUGUGACGCCUGCCCGGUGCCGGAAGGUUAAUUGAUGGGGUUAGCGGUAACGCGAAGCUCUUGAUCGAAGCCCCGGUAAACGGCGGCCGUAACUAUAACGGUCCUAAGGUAGCGAAAUUCCUUGUCGGGUAAGUUCCGACCUGCACGAAUGGCGUAAUGAUGGCCAGGCUGUCUCCACCCGAGACUCAGUGAAAUUGAACUCGCUGUGAAGAUGCAGUGUACCCGCGGCAAGACGGAAAGACCCCGUGAACCUUUACUAUAGCUUGACACUGAACAUUGAGCCUUGAUGUGUAGGAUAGGUGGGAGGCUUUGAAGUGUGGACGCCAGUCUGCAUGGAGCCGACCUUGAAAUACCACCCUUUAAUGUUUGAUGUUCUAACGUUGGCCCGUAAUCCGGGUUGCGGACAGUGUCUGGUGGGUAGUUUGACUGGGGCGGUCUCCUCCUAAAGAGUAACGGAGGAGCACGAAGGUUGGCUAAUCCUGGUCGGACAUCAGGAGGUUAGUGCAAUGGCAUAAGCUAGCUUGACUGCGAGCGUGACGGCGCGAGCAGGUGCGAAAGCAGGUCAUAGUGAUCCGGUGGUUCUGAAUGGAAGGGCCAUCGCUCAACGGAUAAAAGGUACUCCGGGGAUAACAGGCUGAUACCGCCCAAGAGUUCAUAUCGACGGCGGUGUUUGGCACCUCGAUGUCGGCUCAUCACAUCCUGGGGCUGAAGUAGGUCCCAAGGGUAUGGCUGUUCGCCAUUUAAAGUGGUACGCGAGCUGGGUUUAGAACGUCGUGAGACAGUUCGGUCCCUAUCUGCCGUGG